rnacentral:rRNA from 1 species
CAGUAGCCGCGGGAACACGAAGGGUGCAAGCGUUAAUCGGAAUUACUGGGCGUAAAGCGUGCGUAGGCGGUUUGUUAAGUCUGUUGUGAAAUCCCCGGGCUCAACCUGGGAAUGGCAAUGGAUACUGGCAAGCUAGAGUGUGUCAGAGGAUGGUGGAAUUCCCGGUGUAGCGGUGAAAUGCGUAGAGAUCGGGAGGAACAUCAGUGGCGAAGGCGGCCAUCUGGGACAACACUGACGCUGAGGCACGAAAGCGUGGGGAGCAAACAGGAUUAGAUACCCGAGUAGUCCCUGUCUCUUAUAC